UAACCAGUGUGUUCUCGUGUGUCUCUGUAAAUCACAAAGUAGACUGAACUCUUUCCCACAUACAUCACAGUCAUGAGUUCUAUAACCAGUGUGUUCUCGUGUGUCUCUGUAAAUCACAAAGUAGACUGAACUCUUUCCCACAUACAUCACAGUCAUGAGUUCUAUAACCAGUGUGUUCUCGUGUGUCUCUGUAAAUCACAAAGUAGACUGAACUCUUUCCC